UUUAUUGUAAGAGGGUGAUUCAAUAUCUAGAUGCUCUUGGUUUCAAGGAGAUAGAUAUUUUCGUUGAUGAUGAUGAACACCCAUUUCUAGAGGCUUUACUAGGGCUUUAUUGCCAACAGAGAUUGAAACUAACUUGGGAAAUGGUAGAGAAUCCACUGAAAUUCUUGGAGCAGAGAGUGUAGUUAAUGAUGGUGGAGUUGCGAGUCUUGUGAUAGAGGGUUCUAAGAGAGCUAAUGUGGUCAUGGAAGAGGCUACUAAGAUCGGUUCAGGAGUUGGGGCAGAUGCUACUGAGAUGGGUUCAGGAGAUAGGGCAGAUGCUACUGAGAUGGGUUCAGGAGAUGGGGCAAAGGCUACCGAGAUGGGUUCAGGAGUUGGGGCAGAGGAUACUGAGAUGGGUUCAGGAUUUGGGGCAGAGGAUACUGAGAUAGGUUCAGGAUUUGAGGCAGAAGCUUCUAUGAGGGAUGAGGAGGCAGAUUAUGUUAAUCCCAUUGGUUUUAUAAGUGAAGAAGAUGAAGAUGCACAAAGUCAGGAUAAGGAGGAAGAUGAUGCUUAUGUAGAAGAUGAUGAUGAUGAAUCAGUCGAGCAAAUUGAAGAGAUUGUAAGAAAUGAAGGUAAUGGUGAGAGAACUUUCAAUCUAGGUCAGUCAUUUGCAAAUGUGAUUGAGGCAAGAGAAGCAUUAAACAACUAUGGUGUGAAGUAUGGCUAUAAAUUGAAGUUUGUGAAGAAUGAGUGUAGGAGCACGAAUUUUAACAAAAAUAAAAAUAUUUUAUUAAUUUUAUAUCUUUAUUUAUUUGGAAUCUUAUGAAAUCCAAGAUUAAAUAUAUAUAUUAUUUAUAAAGAUAUUACCAUAUUUCAAAGAUAGAGAUCAAUUUCUUUGGUAGCAAGUCAAAUCUAAUAUUGAUAUGUAUCAAUCUUCAAAAGCCAAUAGGAUCGUGCCACAUCAGCCCUAAGCCCAUAAUCAUGUGGGCUUUGGCCCAAAGCCUGACUCUUCCUACAACUAUAAAUAGGGGUCCCCAUAUCAGUGACUAAAAAAAAUACAUUAGAGAGCUNAUGGCAAGGAUUUAAAUUUUCAUUUUUGGCGUUGACUUGGGAGAAGUAGGAUAAAAUGACUAUUUGAAACUUAUAAUUUGCAGAAAGUAGUGGCUUGUGUAGAGGAAAUGCCAUAUUCUCGUAUCCAGAAUCAGUUUAGUGAACUAGGAUUUCCAAAUCCCAAAGCAUAUACAUUUGGGAUCCUGAUAAGGAAGUUGAAGAGGGUUUUUUUUUUUUUUUUUUUAAGGAUGAAGUUUAUUGUAAGAGGUGCUUCAAUAGCUAGAUGCCAUUGGUUUCAAGGAGAUAGACCUGUUCAUUGAUGAUGAAGAUACACCCAUAUGCCUACAUGUUUUACUAGGGCUCUAUUACCACAGAGAUUGAACUAACUUGGGAAAUGGUAGAGAAUCCACUGAAAUACUCGGGGCAGAGGGUGUAGUUAAUGAUGGUGGAGUUGUGAGUCUUGUGGUAGAUGGUACUAAUAAGGG
rnacentral:lncRNA from 1 species